ensembl:lncRNA
CAAAAAAAAAAAGAAGAAGAAGAAGAAGAAGAAGAAGAAGGUGCAGCGUGCGGGAGCAACUUUUCCCUCGGCAUGCCUGGCCCUGGCACUGCUGGCACGGGCUCCCUGGAAAGCUGCAGUUCCGCCGGUAUAACACAGGGAGCAGGCUGGAGAAUUUAGAGCUGCGUCACAGAGCUCAGAGAGAGAGCGAGAGAGCAAGCUCCGUCGAUAGGUCUACUAGCAACAGCCCUGCUGCAGCAAGAGGGGAGAGAGGCAGCAAGAGAGAGGGCUCAAGGAAGAGAAGUAAUGCCAACCCUGGGGACCGGGCUCCUGUCACCGUCCAGCGUCACUUAAAGAAUCCUACCGGGGCUCCGUUGACAUAGGAAGCUUCGCCCAUUGACGAUGCUGGAGAUACAGCGCGCUUAAUCCCGCGGGGAGGGAGAGUGGGCAGACACCGAAAGGGUUAACGGAAGGGAAAUUUCUGGAACCUUCUAUUCUGCGGCGCUCCGCAGCAAGCGGAGGGCUGAAGACUGCGCAGAUGGUGCACGGACAGAGCUCUUCGGUCCGGUUCGUCUCUCCCACCCUUCCAGCUCACAUGUGAUAGUCUUCCCUGUACUGCUGCAUCAUUAACUAAGUGGCCGAGGGCGCUGCCGAUUGGCUGGGGAGGGCUCUGGCCCUCAGCGCGCCGCGCUAUUGGUGGAGAAGGCGCUGGCAGGUGAAAAGCCCUCCCGGAUUGGCCGCGGACCGGGUGUCAAAUCGGAGCGUGGAGCUGGCUCGCUCCGAAGCGCUGGGACGGCUCCGCGCCUCCGCGCCGGGCUUCUCCCGCUCUCCCGCGGGGGCCGACGGCCGGCGGCGGCCCUGCCUCUCGCGGCGCGGCGACAGCACGAGCCAAAAAAAAAAGAGGAAGAGAAGGAGCUUUCCGCGUGCGGUGCCCCCGGCGUCGGGCAAGCACCCGGCGGCGAGGACGCAGCGACCAGCAAUGAAGAUGGCAGCUCUGCCUGGAAGUUCUGACGACACAACCAGAUUUGGGCUCGGUCCUUCUGGCUGAGGAAGUCAUCUGAUUAUGCAGUGGAGUGGGAAUUUCAGACUCUUACUGCAGUCAUCACAGCCCCUCCUGACUCACUGAGCCUUCGCUGGCUGUAGCUGGCUCCCUUGGAGCAUCCUUGCCUCCUGCAGCGCCAGUUCCGCAGAGCAGGGGAACAACAGGAAUAGCAGCAACAAUGGUGGUCCCUGCAGCAAGACGGACAGGCGUAAAUACACACGUAUAUAAGAACAGCACAUACACAGCAGCACUCGUACAAGGCAGCAGCGGAGGUAACUGUACAGCCAGGAGCUCGACUAAGAAAUGACGUUCUGUUGCUUGGAAGACUGGUGGGUUAAGACUGUUUUAUCGAGCGCUCUCUAAAUGGCCGACCCUUCGCGUUUUCUCCAUCCCAUGUUGUGGGGCAGCGGGCCCCGUUAACGUGCAAUGGUAGCGCUUCUUAAUGGCAUUCCUCAGCCCUUUGGAAGGAGGUGCAUCCAGCAGCCCAUAUACUUACUACAGCAUAUUCAUCCUUCUUGAGUUCAGCAUAAGGAUGCAUUUGUUUUUAUUCCUUUUGCUACUAUUUUUUUGCCACAGAGAUGGUUUAAUUGCAACUAAGCGCAGGGAGGGAAAGGAUACUGAGAGAUAAAAGAAUUAUUUCAGUGUUAAACUUCAGCUCUCAUUACGCAUGAAUUGGUUACUGUUACCAGAUAAAUCUGUGGAACUUUGCAAGAUUAUGUGAAACAAGGCUAAGCAAGGGCCAUGGCAUAUUUCUGUAAGUCAGCAGCGAUUUGGGGCAUGUGAGUGGUAUCGUUACUGUACAUUAGUGAUAUGGGUAACUGUUCCAAAAUGGUUGUCAGAGUAUUGCCUCAAAAGGACUUGGAAAAGCUGUGAUUUCUUACUCCCUCUGACUCUCCUGUGUGUGACAUUGUGCAAGCUGAUUCAUUUGUCUGUAUUUUGGUUUUCGUCCUUCGUAAAGUGGGGUUUAUUAUACCUCUCAGCCUUAGUGCGGCAUUAUGACGCAGUAUUCGUUAACGCGUUGGGUCUGCUGGCAA